rnacentral:rRNA from 1 species
AGGACGAACGCUGGCGGCGUGCUUAACACAUGCAAGUCGAGCGGUAAGGCCCUUCGGGGUACACGAGCGGCGAACGGGUGAGUAACACGUGGGUGAUCUGCCCUGUACUUCGGGAUAAGCCUGGGAAACUGGGUCUAAUACCGGAUAUGACCUUACAUCGCAUGGUGUUUGGUGGAAAGAUUUAUCGGUACAGGAUGGGCCCGCGGCCUAUCAGCUUGUUGGUGGGGUAAUGGCCUACCAAGGCGACGACGGGUAGCCGGCCUGAGAGGGCGACCGGCCACACUAAGACUGAGACACGGCCCAGACUCCUACGGGAGGCAGCAGUGGGGAAUAUUGCACAAUGGGCGAAAGCCUGAUGCAGCGACGCCGCGUGAGGGAUGACGGCCUUCGGGUUGUAAACCUCUUUCGACAGGGACGAAGCGCAAGUGACGGUACCUGUAGAAGAAGCACCGGCCAACUACGUGCCAGCAGCCGCGGUAAUACGUAGGGUGCGAGCGUUGUCCGGAAUUACUGGGCGUAACUCUGCUGAUGGGGAAGUUUGUCGCGUCGUCCGUGAAAACUUGGGGCUCAACCCCAAGCUUGCGGGCGAUACGGGCAGACUUGAGUUCUUCAGGGGAGACUGGAAUUCCUGGUGUAGCGGUGAAAUGCGCAGAUAUCAGGAGGAACACCGGGUGGCGAAGGCGGG